rnacentral:rRNA from 1 species
CCUACGGGUGGCAGCAGUAGGGAAUAUUGCACAAUGAGGGAAACCCUGAUGCAGCGACGCCGCGUGAGUGAAGAAGUAUUUCGGUAUGUAAAGCGCUGUCAGCAGGGAAGAAAAUGACGGUAACUGAUUAAGAAGCCCCGGCUAACUACGUGCCAGCAGCCGCGGUAAUACGUAGGGGGCGAGCGUUCGCCGGAUUUACUGGGUGUAAAGGGAGCGUAGACGGCAGCACAAGUCUGGAGGGAAAUGCCGGGGAUUAACCCCGGAACUGCUUUGGAAACUGUGCAGCUAGAGUGCAGGAGAGGUAAGCGGAAUUCCUAGUGUAGCGGUGAAAUGCGUAGAUAUUAGGAGGAACACCAGUGGCGAAGGCGGCUUACUGGACUGUAACUGACGUUGAGGGUCGAAAGCGUGGGGAGCAAACAGGAUUAGAUACCCGAGUAGUC